UACGGAGGGUGCAAGCGUUAUCCGGAUUCACUGGGUUUAAAGGGUGCGUAGGCGGGCUAGUAAGUCCGUGGUGAAAUCUCCAGCUUAACUUGGAAACUGCCAUGGAUACUAUUGGUCUUGAAUGUUGUGGAGGUUAGCGGAAUAUGUCAUGUAGCGGUGAAAUGCAUAGAUAUGACAUAGAACACCAAUUGCGAAGGCAGCUGGCUACACAAAUAUUGACGCUGAGGCACGAAAGCGUGGGGAUCAAACAGGAUUAGAUACCCCGAG
rnacentral:rRNA from 1 species